rnacentral:rRNA from 1 species
GGACGAACGCUGGCGGCGUGCUUAACACAUGCAAGUCGAACGGAAAGGCCCUGCUUUUGUGGGGUGCUCGAGUGGCGAACGGGUGAGUAACACGUGAGUAACCUGCCCUUGACUUUGGGAUAACUUCAGGAAACUGGGGCUAAUACCGGAUAGGAGCUCCUGCUGCAUGGUGGGGGUUGGAAAGUUUCGGCAGUUGGGGAUGGACUCGCGGCUUAUCAGCUUGUUGGUGGGGUAGUGGCUUACCAAGGCUUUGACGGGUAGCCGGCCUGAGAGGGUGACCGGCCACAUUGGGACUGAGAUACGGCCCAGACUCCUACGGGAGGCAGCAGUGGGGAAUAUUGCACAAUGGGCGGAAGCCUGAUGCAGCAACGCCGCGUGCGGGAUGACGGCCUUCGGGUUGUAAACCGCUUUCGCCUGUGACGAAGCGUGAGUGACGGUAAUGGGUAAAGAAGCACCGGCUAACUACGUG